rnacentral:lncRNA from 1 species
UUCUCCAUCCAUAAAUCAGGGCAUUACAUGGUGUUAACUCAGGCAUUACUAGUAGUAUUGACUUUGAGUAAUUAGAUUUCUCAUUUAGAAUUCUCAUUUUGGCAUUCUACUGGUGAUUUUCUAUCCUUCAUACUUUCUACUAUUUUAAUUGAGUCUCUUCUCUAAAGAGUUGUGUCUUUUUCUUUCUUCCUCUCUUUCUUUGAUAAGCAGGGACUCAUGAGUGCUUAUUUUAUUCUUUAGGUUAUAAUUCAGUGUUAUCAUUACUGAUUUUGGUCCUCAAGGCAUUGUAAUAUUUGCUGUGGGAAAAUUUUUAGGUUAGUUCCCUAUGCACUUUUGACAUUCCCCUGUAGUCUUCUCUUUCUCCAGCACUGGAAUCAAUGAACUCUGCAAAGAUCCUGGACUCCUUCUCCUGCUGCAUAAUAAAGGUCAGACAGACCUGAAUUUGAUAGCAACAGAGCUUCAGCAAUAACAGCAGAUGCCAUCUUAGAUUAAUAUGGUGUCAGAAGUGGGAUCCAAAGUAGAGCUUCUAAUGAUCCCCAGGAAUGCUGAGUGACCAAAUGAGAUACCUGAUGGAGUCACUUGUGUCCACUUUCAGGACAGCUGAGGAUUUGUGGGUUGGCACUUUGACAUGUAUCAUGAAGGCCAUAAAAAUUGGUUCCCAAGAAAGAAACAGGAACAUCGUAGGGGGCAGAAGAAGAAAGAUGCUCAUUUUCCUGAGGAAGCAGGAUAGAAGACUCUCUUUACUUCACCUUGUAUGCAUAAAGAACAUAAAGGAAGAUGUGGCUAAACUGGUUAUCUUUUGGAGAUAGUUACUGAUAUCUGAGGACAUUGUUCAUAAUACUUGCCAGAGGUUGACUCUAGAGAUGGUGGUCAAGUGUUUCAGAAAAAG